GGCAGCAGGAGGCUCAAGAACUAAGAGGCGCCAUUUUUGGGAGUUUCUUAACCGAAGAUCCUGGCAUGGCUCACUCCGCCCUCGGGCCCCAUAGAGUAAUUACGGACAGAUGGAAGGGCAUGUCGCCGGAACAGAAGAAGGAGAUUCAAGGAAUCCGCGAGAGACAAGUAGAGGAAAAGAAGCGUCGCGACGAAGCUGCUCAACGCGAGUACCAGGAGUGGGAGGAGCUUGCGGAGAGGGCGGACCGAGUGGGCGUGCUCCUCGAACAACGGGAUGUCAAGACCAGGAG